rnacentral:tRNA from 1 species
GCGGUCGUGGUCUAGUGGUUAUGAUUUCGGCCUUCCACGCCGAAUACCCGGGUUCGAAUCCCGGCGACCGCACCA